GUUUACAGCCGUGACACACCCAAUCCCUUGAUCUAAGAAGUUAAAAAACGUACAGUUGGGUCAGUACUUGGAUGGGAGACUACCAAGGAAGACUGGAUGCUGUAGCCG
rnacentral:rRNA from 1 species